UAUUGGACGAUUUAGCCAUGCUAGUCGUACGAGUUCAUACUCGUGGCGAAUAGCUCAGUAACACGUGGCCAAACUACCCUUCGGAGCUCCAUACCCUCGGGAAACUGAGGUUAAUAGAGCAUACCACACCACCACUGGAAUGAGUAGUGUGUCAAACGCUCCGGCGCCGAAGGAUGUGGCUGCGGCCGAUUAGGUAGACGGUGGGGUAACGGCCCACCGUGCCAAUAAUCGGUAUGGGUCAUGAGAGUGAGAACCCAGAGACGGAAUCUGAGACAAGAUUCCGGGCCCUACGGGGCGCAGCAGGCGCGAAACCUUUACACUGCACGACAGUGCGAUAGGGGGAUCCCAAGUGCACAGGCAUAGCGCCUGUGCUUUUCGGUACCCUAAGGCGGUACCAGAAUAAGGGCUGGGCAAGACCGGUGCCAGCCGCCGCGGUAAUACCGGCAGCCCAAGUGAUGGCCGAUCUUAUUGGGCCUAAAGCGUCCGUAGCUGGCCGCGCAAGUCCAUCGGGAAAUCCACCUGCUCAACAGGUGGGCGCCCGGUAGAAACUGCGUGGCUUGGGACCGGAAGGCGCGACGGGUACGUCCGGGGUAGGAGUGAAAUCCCGUAAUCCUGGACGGACCGCCGAUGGCGAAAGCACGUCGCGAGAACGGAUCCGACAGUGAGGGACGAAAGCCAGGGUCUCGAACCGGAUUAGAUA
rnacentral:rRNA from 1 species